GCCAGUUUGGCAGAGUGGUUUGAGCACUGGACUAAACUCUGGAGACCAGGGUUCGAUUCCCCGCUUGGACA